rnacentral:rRNA from 1 species
AUUGAACGCUGGCGGCAUGCUUUACACAUGCAAGUCGAACGGUAACAGGCCUUCGGGCGCUGACGAGUGGCGAACGGGUGAGUAAUGCAUCGGAACGUGCCCAGUCGUGGGGGAUAACGCAGCGAAAGCUGUGCUAAUACCGCAUACGAUCUGCGGAUGAAAGCGGGGGACCUUCGGGCCUCGCGCGAUUGGAGCGGCCGAUGUCAGAUUAGGUAGUUGGUGGGGUAAGGGCUCACCAAGCCAACGAUCUGUAGCUGGUCUGAGAGGACGACCAGCCACACUGGGACUGAGACACGGCCCAGACUCCUACGGGAGGCAGCAGUGGGGAAUUUUGGACAAUGGGCGCAAGCCUGAUCCAGCAAUGCCGCGUGCAGGAAGAAGGCCUUCGGGUUGUAAACUGCUUUUGUACGGAGCGAAAAGGCUCCCUCUAAUACAGGGGGCUCAUGACGGUACCGUAAGAAUAAGCACCGGCUAACUACGUGCCAGCAGCCGCCGUAACAC